GAUGAACGCUGGCGGCGUGCUUAACACAUGCAAGUCGAACGGAAAGGCUCCUGCUUGCAGGGGUACUCGAGUGGCGAACGGGUGAGUAACACGUGGGUGAUCUGCCCUGCACUUCGGGAUAAGCCUGGGAAACUGGGUCUAAUACCGGAUAGGACCACAUUUUGGAUGGUGUGGUGGAAAGUUUUUCAGUGUGGGAUGAGCUCGCGGCCUAUCAGCUUGUUGGUGGGGUAAUGGCCUACCAAGGCGUCGACGGGUAGCCGGCCUGAGAGGGUGUACGGCCACAUUGGGACUGAGAUACGGCCCAGACUCCUACGGGAGGCAGCAGUGGGGAAUAUUGCACAAUGGGCGCAAGCCUGAUGCAGCGACGCCGCGUGGGGGAUGACGGCCUUCGGGUUGUAAACUCCUUUCGCUAGGGACGAAGCGCAAGUGACGGUACCUGGAGAAGAAGCACCGGCUAACUACGUG
rnacentral:rRNA from 1 species